rnacentral:rRNA from 1 species
AACGAACGCUGGCGGCAGGCUUAACACAUGCAAGUCGAGCGCCCCGCAAGGGGAGCGGCAGACGGGUGAGUAACGCGUGGGAAUCUACCCAUCCCUACGGAAUAGCUCCGGGAAACUGGAAUUAAUACCGUAUACGCCCUACGGGGGAAAGAUUUAUCGGGGAUGGAUGAGCCCGCGUUGGAUUAGCUAGUUGGUGGGGUAAAGGCCUACCAAGGCGACGAUCCAUGGCUGGUCUGGGAGGAUGAUCAGCCACAUUGGGAAUGAGACACGGCCCAAACUCCUACGGGAGGCGGCAGUGGGCAAUAUUGGACAAGGGGGGCAACCCUGAUCCAGCCAUGCCGCGUGAGUGAUGAAGGCCUUAGGGUUGUAAAGCUCUUUCACCGGGGAAGAUAAUGACGGUACCCGGAGAAGAAGCCCCGGCUAACUUCGUGCCAGCCGCCGCCGUAA